AGGUAGCAAAUCACAAACCUGCAAAACUCUAACAGGGAUCUUGUAUUGUGAAGCAAGAAGGCAUGUUUGGUGGGUCAAGCACUUGAAAUCAACUAUUUCCGAGUGAGAAACUAUUUGGAGUGUUAAUUCUUCAACCUAUGGAUAAAACGUGGAUAAACCUUACAUCAAGAGCAAGUGAAGAGUAUAUAAAUGGGGUCACCAAUUUCUUAGAUUUUGCUUUUGCCAAAUUAUCCGAAGAUGGUAAAAUUUGGUGUCCUUGUGUUAAAUGUGUGAACACAUAUAGGGUGUCCAGAAGAGAAGCAUUUGAUCACAUUAUUUGUGAUGGCUUUCUUAAAGGAUAUGUUCGAUGGAUUU